UGGGGAAUUUUGGACAAUGGGGGAAACCCUGAUCCAGCCAUCCCGCGUGUGCGAUGAAGGCCUUCGGGUUGUAAAGCACUUUUGGCAGGAAAGAAACGUCAUGGGUUAAUACCCCGUGAAACUGACGGUACCUGCAGAAUAAGCACCGGCUAACUACGUGCCAGCAGCCGCGGUAAUACGUAGGGUGCAAGCGUUAAUCGGAAUUACUGGGCGUAAAGCGUGCGCAGGCGGUUCGGAAAGAAAGAUGUGAAAUCCCAGAGCUCAACUUUGGAACUGCGUUUGUAACUACCGGGCUAGAGUGUGUCAGAGGGAGGUGGAAUUCCGCGUGUAGCAGUGAAAUGCGUAGAUAUGCGGAGGAACACCGAUGGCGAAGGCAGCCUACUGGGAUAACACUGACGCUCAUGCACGAAAGCGUGGGGAGCAAACAGG
rnacentral:rRNA from 1 species